ensembl:lncRNA
ACGCAACUAAAGUGUGAAACAGACACUUACACACAUUGUCAGAAACUGCCACAGAAGAAGACAAUGUGUGUGUGUGUGUGUGUGUGUGUGUGUGUGUGUGUGUGUGUGUGUGUGUGUGUGUGUGAGAGAGAGAGAUUUUGUCUUAACAGGCUCAUUUCUUCCUGAUGGCUUUAAAUGAUUUCAUCACAAUUAAUGACACACACCGCGGCUCCCUGUGACUCGCUGGCAGAUGUUCAGGGACCUCGGAGUGUCUUCAUCUCUCUCUCAGAGCUAAAGAGGCACUUUCCUCCCGUGACAAACGAGGCCGUGCGCCUUGUCAGCGUCUGAUCCGUAACCCUCGACGCUCAAAGCGGUAAAUUAUCGACACAUCUGUUCAGACUUUGUUGAAAAAUGUAGCCACCUUUUAUCCUUUUUUCCUCCUCGUGCAUACUGAUGAUCUGCACUUUUUUCACCCUCAAGUUGUUCAGCGGCUUCGACGUCCUUCUGCGAAUGUAGCUUUUCUUUUCUUUCUCUUUUUUCUACAAAGGCAUUGAGAAUGUGAUCUGGUUUAUAGCUGAGUAAUUAUAGUUGUCCUGUCAGAAUUACAGUAAUUACAAGCUUGUAUAAAGGAUUUACAUUUAACUCUUUAUGUGUCGAUCAGACAUCCGGUUAUUUCCUCACAUCCGACGCAUGAUAUAUACAAUAAAUAUCAUUUAACUCUGAAGAAACGAACAUCUCCAAGUGCAGUCUCAUACUUAGGGGAAUUCUGAUAUGAUGUAAAUACGCUGUAAGAUCAUAACUACGCUUCGCUAUGAAUGACAUCAUCAUGUCUACUUACAGUUUUCAGAUAAAUUAAACACCACACAGUCCAGUGAUCCAGUUACAGUGUAAAACUGAAACUACUGAAUAUUAUUCAACCCUGGGAUUUGUUGAGCACUGGUAUCUCCAUAAACUUAACAUUCUUAAAUCAGGAUUUUGGGGGUUUUGUAGAAUGUUAGUGUUUGUUGGAUAAUGUUAGGGUUUGGUGGAUAGUGUUUGGGUUUGGUGUAGAAUGUUAGUGUUUGUUGGACAGUGUUAGUGUUAGUGUUUGGUGUAGAAUGUUAGUGUUUGGUGGACAGUGUUAGUGUUAGUAUUUAUUGGACAGUGUUAGUGUUUGGUGUACAAUAUUAGUGUUUGUUGGACAUUGUUAGUGUUUGGUGUACAAUGUUAAUGUUGGUUGGACAGUGUUAGUGUUAGUGUUUGGUGGUCAGUGUUAGUGUUUGGUGUAGAAUGUUAGUGUUUGGUGGACAAUGUUAGUGUUAGUGUUUGGUGGACAAUGUUAGUGUUUGGUGGACAGUGUUAGUGUUAGUGUUUGGUGGUCAGUGUUAGUGUUAGUGUUUGGUGGACAAUGUUAGUGUUUGGUGGACAGUGUUAGUGUUAGUAUUUAUUGGACAGUGUUAGUGUUUGGUGUACAAUGUUAGUGUUUGUUGGACAGUGUUAGUGUUUGGUGUACAAUGUUAGUGUUUAUUGGACAUUGUUAGUGUUUGGUGUACAAUGUUAGUGUUUGUUGGACGGUGUUAGUAUUUGUUUUACAGUGUUAGUGUUUAUUGGACAGUGUUAGUGUUAGUGUUUGUUGGACAGUGUUAGUGUUUGUUGGAUGAUGUUAGUGUUAGUGUUUGGUGCACAGUGUUGAUGUGUAACCUCACUGUGCCAAUACAAACAUCUUCAAUAAAGUUGACUGAGAUCAGAGAAUACAGCGCGAGAACUUGGGGACCACUUCAAAAGGGAUGCCAAUAAUUAUGGCACAGACAGUAACUAUUUCAGGUCCUUAUCACGGUAUAAGGUCAAGUCGAUAAUGUUUACUGUCACUGACUUUAUCAACAACGAUUCUCCAGUACAGUAGAGCGAUAUGAAAAAUCAGACAUGUGAAAUCUCUCAUUAAUCACAGCGUGUUAAGUAUUUCUAUACACAACCAUAGUGUCAUUUCUGUUUGUGUGUGUGUGUGUGUGUGUGUGUGUGUCCCGGCUAAUGUUAAGUAAAUAUAUGAGACGUACGCAGCGUAUGAGGUCAAUAGAAACUGGAGACGCUGUCUCAUUAAGCACGUCAGAGCCACAGAGCGGACGUUCCUGACUUCAUUCAUUCGUUUCGCUCCUAAUUGCGAACUUAAUUUUCCGACUCUAUUGAUUUUUUUUCUUUUUUUUUGCCUCCUCUCCGUCUGUUCAUUUUCCUAAUGAAACGCUUCAGAGCAAUUUGGUGCCAACUAAGUAAAUGGAGCUUUAAUUUGAGGGGUGGCUGCAGGAAGCAGAUCUUUCAGCCCCGUGUCCUUCCGCACAUUGUGAAUGCCUAAUACACACACACACACACACACACACACACACACACACACUCUCUGUUGUCAUGUCAAACACUGCUCUGGUUUGGGUGUUUAGAAGAGAAGAAGAUUGUGGUUUGUUGAAGACAUCAGUGUUUGGUGGUGAAUAUUGAUGUUUGGUGUAGAAUUGUAAUUGUAGCUUGGUGUAGAAUGUUGGUGUUUAUUAGAAAAGAUUGUGGUUUGGAAAAUGUUUAUGUUUGCUGGAGAUGUUUGUGGUUUGGUGGAGAAGACUGUUUUAUGAGAACAAUGGUGUUUGGUGGAGAAGAUUGUGGUCUGUUGUAGAAGGUUAGUGGUUGGUGGAGAACAUAAGUGUUUGGUGGAGAAUGUUAGUGUAGAUGAAGAUUGUGGUUUGUUGGAGAAUGCCAGUGUUUGGUGGAGAAAGUUGUGGUUUGUUUGAGAAGAUUGUGGUUUGUUGGAGAAUGCCAGUGUUUGGUGGAGAAAGUUGUGGUUUGUUUGAGAAGAUUGUGGUUUGUUGGAGAUUGUGGUUUGUUGGAGAUUGUGGUUUGUUGGAGGAGAUUGUGGUUUGUUGGAGGAGAUUGUGGUUUGUUGGAGAUUGUGGUUUGUUGGAGAUUGUGGUUUGUUGGAGGAGAUUGUGGUUUGUUGGAGAUUGUGGUUUGUUGGAGAUUGUGGUUUGUUGGAGGAGAUUGUGGUUUGUUGGAGGAGAUUGUGGUUUGUUGGAGAUUGUGGUUUGUUGGAGGAGAUUGUGGUUUGUUGGAGGAGAUUGUGGUUUGUUGGAGAUUAUUGUGGUUUGUUGGAGGAGAUUGUGGUUUGUUGGAGGAGAUUGUGGUUUGUUGGAGAAGAUUGUGGUUUGUUGGAGAAGUCGGUGUUUGUUGGAGAAGAUUGUGGUUUGUUGGAGAAGUCGGUGUUUGUUGGAGAAGAUUGCCUUGUUUGUAGAUAUUUGGGGUUUAGAAGAAGGAGCUAUUUCAGAUUUGUGUCCUUCUGCAUUUUGUGAAUGCAGCACACAUACUGUAUACACACACACACACACACACACACACACACACACACACACACAACUCUCAGGGAUUAGUCUGUUAAACCAAGCUUUCUUAUUGAGAUUAGGUCAUUAAUUUCGCCCCUUACAUAUGAAAAUAUUGACAGUUCCCAUGCACCCUGCCGUUUGGGUUUCUGACCGGCCGCGUCGCUCGCUGAGAUAAAUCCUGACCCGUGUGUGGUGCUCGAUACUCCGUAGACUGAUCCAUCCCAGAAACUGAUAAACAAGCAAUAUAUUAGCUUGAUAUGUUAUCACCAGAGGAGGUUUAUCGAUUAGCCUGGUGAGAAACUGUCCAGACGGGAUGAGUGACGGGACAUGUGAGGACACCGGGUUAGGUAGUUGAGACAUGCGGGAUAUUUUUGGGAAGACAUCAGCAUGACGUCCCGUCUCUUACUAACCCUCCAGACUCGAAACAAGUCAUUUCCAAAAAACGGGGUUUGCGUUACGAAGAAAAAGUUUUUCCAAAGAAAAUCAUAGUCACAGUUUUUCUCCUACCCCGAGAAACAGGAGUCUCGUCUCAGUGACGAUGAGUAACGAGAGAGAGAAGGAGGGAGAGAGGGAGGGGUGUGUGUGUGUGUGUGUGUGUGUGUGUGUGUGAGGGGGGGUGCUCUUUUCAAAAAGUCAUCUGUUCUUCGUUUGUCCGGAGCUUGGGAACAGAAUAUCAGGAAGCGCUCCGGUUGUGGCGGAAGAUGAAAAGAGGAGAGGAAUGAAUAAAAAAACACGUGUCGCACAUGUACUGUGGCAGACUGCAUAUGUCCUGUGAAUGUCUGAACAGGCCUGAGAGACACAGCAGCCAACACACACACACACACACACACACACACAAACACACACACACACACACACAAUUCCUAGCACAGAAAAACUAGUGACAAAACUUAGAUAUAUAUUAUCACCACAUUCAGACAAAACUCCAUUUGUGACUAAUAACACUUAGCGGACCGUACCAUUUCACCUCCUUAUAACUCAUCAGUGUUGGGUAAGUUACUCAAAAAAAUACAUCCACUACAGAUUACUAAUUACUUUCAAAACCAUCAAACCUACAGAAUACACUACAAACUCAAACUCAGAGAUCUUUCAGUAAGGUUAGCGUCAGUGUACGACACGAUCAGAAAAAGUCUGAUUUAUAAUAGACCCUUCCUCGGGCGUGUCGCUGUGUGUAGAAUACCAGAGCGCUAAAAUAUGAAACUUUUCGAACUAGGCUAGUUUGGUGUCUCUAGCCGAGAGGAGACACGGCUAAGCUAUCACUGUAUGUGUUUAGCUGCUACAGAGUCAUGUAGAGUUCAUUAUCUUUCCUUCUGCUCUGCUCAGAUCAUCUUCACGUGAACUGGAACUCAUAUAGACGUUCACACGCCUUGUUCUCCUGCUCAGCAUCAGAGGAUGUUUCUGUUUCUGUUUCAACUCCUUUACUGCUUUAAAAAUAAUAAUAAAUCUGCGUUUAUCCAUUUUUCCUCACACUGACUGUGAGCUAGCGUUCGGCAGAAUCGAGAGACCGUCAGCCAAUAAGACGCGAGAAUUUCCACGCAUGUUCCUGUAAACGCUGUCUGAUCGGUCUCGCCUCCGUUCACUGAAGAUAUAACAUUACAUCACCGCCGUCUUCUUUUACUGACGUUCAGUUACGCAGUGACGAACCGCUCCGAGCGGAGAAUUAUUCAGGGAUAAAGAAAACAUCUUCAGGGCAAAACCUGAUUUAUUUUAAAAAUGCAUUUUAUUUCAUAUUGUUUUCUUAACAAUGAAUUUGAAAUGGAAGUAAACGUUGUUUUAUUGGCAUCAGUAAGUGUAAUUAAAUUACAUCCAUUUAAAAUAUAAUGUGUUACUGCGUUAUCAGAAAAAGUCAUUAGAUUACAGUAACACGUUACUUUGUGUUGUGGCUUUGUCACAUUACCACAGUUACUAUAUCGUUGUUGCGUUGUCUCUUUGUCACUAUCAGUUUGUCACUUCCUUGUUGUUGCUGCAGUUUAAUGUUGUUUCCGUGUCACUGCUGCUUUCUCAUUUCGCUGUCAUGUUGUCAUUGUCAUUUUGUCUUUAUCUCUUUGUCGUUGUCAUUUUGUCUCUGUCAUUUUGUCGUUGUCAUUUUGUCUCUGUCAUUUUGGCGCUGUCAUUUUGACGCUGUCAUUUUGACGCUGUCAUUGUGGCGCUGUCUCUUUGUCAUUGUCAUUUUGUUGCUGUCUCUUUGUCGCUGUCAUUUUGUCGCUGUCUCUUUGUCGCUGUCAUUUUGUCUCCUGUCUCUUUGUCACUGUCAUUUUGUCCCUCUCAUUUUGACGCUGUCAUUUUGACGUUGUCAUUUUGUCGCUGUUUCUUUGUCGCUAUCAUUUUGUUGCUGUCUCUUUGUUGCUGUCAUUGUGUCGCUGUCUCUUUGUCGCUGUCAUUUUGUCGUUGUCAUUUUGUCGCUGUCUCUUUGUUGCUGUCAUUUUGUCAUUGUCAUUUUGUCGCUGUCUCUUUGUUGCUGUCAUUUUGUUGCUGUCACUGUAAUGCUGUCAUUGUGUAGCUGUCAUUUUGUCGCUGUCUCUUCGUUGCUGUUCACUGGUUUCUCACUGUUGCUUCUUUGCUGUGUCACUGUCACUUUGUUGAUGUCACUUUGUCACGCUUUGCGGCAGUGUCGUUGUCGUUGGAACACUGUCGCUUUGUUGCUGGUGCGUUGUCGCUUUCUCACUUUCUCGCUGUUGUUUUGUUAUUUUCUCACUAAAACUGUGGCUCCAUGUCGCACGCGUACAAGAACAGUCCCAUUCACUUUGUCACUUCCCAAUCUGAAUGCAAGAUAAAACUCUACUAAGCGACUUCUUUUACCUCUGAUCCACCAUCAAAAGCAAUAUCAGGUAUCAUUUAGUCAAGCAUGUCGAUGGCUCUCUCUCUCUCUCUCUCUCUCUCUCUCUCUCUCUCUCUCUAUGUCUCUCUCUCUUUUUGCUUGGUGAACGACGCUAACGAACACUCAGGUAGCACUUCCAUUAUGCAGAGGAGCCACUUAACACAUCCCACACCUCAUUAACGGUAAUAAGUGGCGUUUGCCACCUCCUUUGUCAGCAGGGUAAGCAAUCAAUAGGGUCAUUUCACAUCAUAACAGCUACUGGUGCACAUUACUAUCUUGUUCAUGGCGGGAACGGCGGUCAUUAAGGCCUGGAGCAGAUUAUAUAGGAGGGAGAAGACAGAUGGAGAGAAUUACGCCGAGCUAAGAGACGGAUCAAUAUGUGGAUAGCUGUGGAGAUAAUUCCACAGCCGGGAGACUUUCGGCUCAGCCAUAUUACAGCUCCUGUGCUGCUCUUUUGUGUUUGUGUAUGCUAAUGCGUGUGUGUGUGUGCGUGUGUGUGUGUGCGUGUGUGUGGCCCGCGUGCCCCCGCUGUGUCGUGUCAGUGCAUUUUCACACACUCACUCGUCGCUGAACAAGCCUGAUGAGGGCUAAUUACAGCACAGCGUCGGCCCGAACAGACGCACAUGCGCCUUUAAUUACAGGAAACAACGGCGUUAAUAUUUUAUGGAAAUGCACCUCGGCACGGAACCCCGGAGUGUGUGACAUUGAGAGUCAGGAAGAGACAUUUACUGUUCACACACACACACACACACACACACACACACACACACACACACACACACACACGGUUAGAAAAGAAAACCCAGUAAACACGACUCUGUCUUCAGACGCGAACCUGAUCAAAUCAAUUUGAGAAUAAAACUAACCCAAAAAAAAGGUUUCCCUAACAAUCCUUCUCCACUAAUCCCAUGUUCCAGAUGUUUCACUGCUGAUCGUGUUUUGCUAGCCUUGCUACACGAAAGGAAACUCCUCAGAUCAGCGGCUCUACUUUACGACACAACUCCAUAACCUGUCUGAUUACACACCUUCAUAUACGUAUCUCUGCUAACCGCUAUCAGUUGGAUUAGCGCCCAGCGCUAGCAGCUACAUUAGCCCUUAAUGGUAAGACGAUCACUGUGUGAUGUCUGAGUAGAUCCAGGGCACUAAUUAGGCGCCCUACAGUAAGGCUAAGAGGGACAAGGCGCGUACUUAAAGCUCUUUGAUAUCCGCUCGGCUAUUAAAUAUAGAUGUGCAGAAAAUCAUUACAGGCAUUGGGAUUAAUUUAAUUAGCUGUGAAAAAAACAUACUGCUAACGUAGGGAUAGGGUUUGGGAUGGGUGUGUGUGUGUGUGUGUGUGAGUGAGUGAUAAUCUGGUUGACUCGUGGCGACGCG